UACAGAGAUGGCAACCGUUGUUCGGAAUCACUGGGCUUAAAGAGCACGUAGGCGGAGAAAUAAGUCAAUUGUGAAAGCCCAUGGCUUACCCAUGGAAUUGCAGUUGAAACUGUUUCCCUUGAGUGUGGAAGGGGAGAGUGGAACUCCUAGUGGAGCGGUGAAAUGCGUUGAUAUUAGGAGGAACGCCGGUGGCGAAAGCGACUCUCUGGUCCAUAACUGACGCUGAGGUGCGAAAGCCAGGGGAGCAAACGGG
rnacentral:misc_RNA from 1 species